GACGAACGCUGGCGGCGUGCCUAAUACAUGCAAGUCGAACGCAGUGGGGACGGGUGAGUAACACGUGGGUAACCUCCCAUCAGAGGGGAUAACACUUGGAAACAGGUGCUAAACCGAUACUGAUGGAUGGACCCGGGGUGCAUUAGCUAGUUGGUGGGGUAACGGCUCACCAAGUCGACGAUGCAUAGCUGACCUGAGAGGGUGACCAGCCACACUGGAACUGAGACACGGCCCAGACUCCUACGGGAGGCAGCAGUAGGGAAUCUUCGGCAAUGGACGCAAGUCUGACCGAGCCACGCCGCGUGUGUGAAGAAGGCUUUCGGAUUGUAAAGCUCUGUUAUCGGAGAGGCGUUAUCUAACCAGGAAGCACCGGCUAACUACGUGCCAGCAGCCGCGGUAAUUC
rnacentral:rRNA from 1 species